AGUGAACGCUGGCGGUAGGCCUAACACAUGCAAGUCGAACGGCAGCACAGUAAGCGCUUGCUCUUACGGGUGGCGAGUGGCGGACGGGUGAGGAAUACAUCAGAAUCUACUUUUUCGUGGGGGAUAACGUAGGGAAACUUACGCUAAUACCGCAUACGACCUACGGGUGAAAGCAGGGGAUCUUCGGACCUUGCGCGAUUGAAUGAGCCGAUGUCGGAUUAGCUAGUUGGCGUGGUAAAGGCCCACCAAGGCGACGAUCCGUAGCAGGUCUGAGAGGAUGAUCAGCCACACUGGAACUGAGACACGGUCCAGACUCCUACGGGAGGCAGCAGUGGGGAAUAUUGCACAAUGGGCGCAAGCCUGAUCCAGCCAUACCGCGUGAGUGAAGAAGGCCUUCGGGUUGUAAAGCCCUUUUGUUGGGAAAGAAAAGCAGUAGGUUAAUACCCCGCUGUUCUGACGGUACCCAAAGAAUAAGCACCGGCUAACUUCGUG
rnacentral:rRNA from 1 species